CUAKUAACUGCGAGUGAACCGGGAAAAGCUCAAAUUUAAAAGCUGGCAGUCUCUGAUUGUCCGCGUUGUAAUCUAGAGAAGUGUUACCCGCGUUGGACCGUGUACAAGUCUCCUGGAAUGGAGCGUCAUAGAGGGUGACAAUCCCGUCUUUGACACGGACUCCCAAGGCUUUGUGGUGCGCUCUCAAAGAGUCGCGUUGUUUGGGAAUGCAGCGCAAAAUGGGUGGUAAAUUCCAUCUAAAGCUAAAUAUUGGCGAGAGACCGAUAGCGAACAAGUACCGUGAGGGAAAGAUGAAAAGAACUUUGGAAAGAGAGUUAAACAGUACGUGAAAUUGCUGAAAGGGAAACGCUUGAAGUCAGUCGCGUCGUCCGGAGAUCAACCUUGCUUUUGCUGGGCGUACUCUCCGGUUGACGGGCCAGCAUCAGUUUUGACCAUUGGAAAAGGGCAGAGGGAAUGUGGCAUCUUCGGAUGUGUUAUAGCCUUCUGUCGUAUACAGUGGUUGGGACUGAGGAACUCAGCACGCYGCAAGGCGGGGAUUCGUCUWCCUUCGUGCUUAGGAUGCUGGCAUAAUGGCUUUAAUCGACCCGUCUUGAAACACGGACCAAGGAGUCUAACAUGCCUGCGAGUGUUUGGGUGGAAAACCCGAGCGCGUAAUGAAAGUGAAAGUUGAGAUCCCUGUCGUGGGGAGCAUCGACGCCCGGACCAGACCUUUUGUGACGGAUCUGCGGUAGAGCAUGUAUGUUGGGACCCGAAAGAUGGUGAACUAUGCCUGAAUAGGGUGAAGCCAGAGGAAACUCUGGUGGAGGCUYGUAGCGAUUCUGACGUGCAAAUCGAUCGUCAAAUUUGGGUAUAGGGGCGAAAGRCUAAUC
rnacentral:rRNA from 1 species